rnacentral:rRNA from 1 species
UACGUACGUGGCGAGCGUUAUCCGGAAUUACUGGGCGUAAAGCGUGCGUAGGCGGUUUAGUGUGUGGGAAUUGAAAGCCCGGGGCUCAACUCCGGAUCCGGUUCCCAAACUGCUAGACUCGAGCGUAUCAGAGGAGAGCGGAAUUCCCGGUGUAGCGGUAAUAUGCGUAGAUAUCAGGAGGAACACCGGUGGCGAAGGCGGGUCUCUGGGCCGAUACUGACGCUGAGGAGCGAAAGCGUGGGGAGCGAACAGG